rnacentral:lncRNA from 1 species
UCUCGGAAGGCCGGGCGUGGAGGGCGUGGCUAGGAGGGCGCGGCCGGGGGGCGCGCCCCCGCGGCUCAGCUCCAGUAGGAAAACAUCCUCUCACUAUGUGGCCGGAAGUUGAACUCCCGGGCAGCUCCCUUGUGUGCGGCUUCUUUAAAGGGAAGGCAGGAGGCGGACAGCUUGGCUGUGACCCUUUAGCGCUGGGUCGCGUGUGGCCCACCCUCGGCCUGAGGCAUUGUUGGGUGGUUGGAGGUGGUUGUAGUAUUUGGAAAAGAACUUGUCCCUGAAGGGCUCAGGGGACUUGGUUUCUCAGCUCCUAAUAUGGAAAAUUAAGGCAUUUCUUACGAGAUGCAGAUUUUAAAGCAGGCAUAUCUACUCGACGGCUUUGGAUUACUGCACUGCACAAAUUCCAGUCUCUGUCGGUUUUGGCUGAGAAGAGCUGUGCUUCUCACCAGCUACUGGUGAGACAUUCGCCCUACAGGAAAGGGUCGGUAUGAUUGUGGACAUUGACAUGCGUAGCAAAAGAAAGUGGCUAAUUUGCGCCAAUAAUAAUAAAUUAGCUUGUAUUUGAAUUAGCCAAGUCUUUGCGGUUUUGCUAACUUGGCUUCACUUUGCAUGGAGUGGGAAGCGCCUGCUUCUGAAAAGGUGACUUUUUUCCUAAUUAGAAUGGACUCCUCUUAAGGCCAUGCAGUUUUCAAAGAAGAAAGACAAGCUGGACGUUUUGUUAGUAACAAAAUGUAGCUGAAGCAGAGAGAGAAGGCAGCAUACGUCAGCAUUUUCUUCUCUGCACUUACAAGAAAGAUCAAAGACUUUAAGACUUUCACUGUUUCUUCUACCGCUAUCUACUACGAGCUUCAAAGAGGAACCAGGAGUAUGGGAGGAGCAUGAAAGUGGACAAGGAACGUGACCAUUGAAGCACAGCACCACAGGGAGGGAUUUAGGCCCCAGGACUGCAGGCAGGCCUGGAUAAUAUCCAGCCUUCCACAAGAAGCUGGUGGAGCAGUGUUCCCUGACUCCUCCAAGGAAAGGAGACUCCCUUUCACGGUCUGCUAAGUAACGGGUGCCUUCCCAGACACUGGCGUUACCGCUUGACCAAGGAGCCCUCAAGCGGCCCUUACGCGGGCGUGACCGAAGGCUCACCUCUUGUCUUCUAGGUCACUUCUCACAAUGUCCCUUCAGCACCUGACCCUAUACCCGCUGGUUAUUCCUAGGUUAUAUUAGUAAUGCAACAAAGAGUAAUAUUAAAAGCUAAUGAUUAAUCAUGUUUAUAAUAAUGAUUGAUAAUUGUCCAUGAUCAUCUCUAUAUCUAAUUUGUAUUAUGACUAUUCUUAUUCUAACUAUUUUCUUUAUUAUACUGAAACAGUUUGUGCCUUCAGUCUCUUGCCUCGGCACCUAGGUAAUCCUCCACCCACAUCCUACUCUUGGACAACAGGAAAAUUAGAAAAGAUAAUGGAGAGCUUUUUCAGAAUGUUGAAUUUAGGAGUUGUGUGUGCUUUUGAUCUCCAUGUCAAUCCAUAAACAAUAAAUCCUGUUCUUAAAUUUGAA